UAGGGAAUCUUCCGCAAUGGACGAAAGUCUGACGGAGCAACGCCGCGUGAGUGAAGAAGGAUUUCGGUUCGUAAAACUCUGUUGUUAGGGAAGAAAAAAUGUAUAGUAACUAUAUACAAAAGAGACGGUACCUAACCAGAAAGCCACGGCUAACUACGUGCCAGCAGCCGCGGUAAUACGUAGGUGGCAAGCGUUGUCCGGAAUUAUUGGGCGUAAAGCGCGCGCAGGUGGUUUAGAAAGUCUGAUGUGAAAGCCCACGGCUCAACCGUGGAGGGUCAUUGGAAACUAAUAAACUUGAGUGCAGGAGAGAAAAGUGGAAUUCCUAGUGUAGCGGUGAAAUGCGUAGAGAUUAGGAGGAACACCGGUGGCGAAGGCGGCUUUUUGGCCUGCAACUGACACUGAGGCGCGAAAGCGUGGGGAGCAAACAGG
rnacentral:rRNA from 1 species